GGGGAAUAUUGGACAAUGGGCGCAAGCCUGAUCCAGCCAUGCCGCGUGAGUGAUGAAGGCCCUAGGGUUGUAAAGCUCUUUUGUGCGGGAAGAUAAUGACGGUACCGCAAGAAUAAGCCCCGGCUAACUUCGUGCCAGCAGCCGCGGUAAUACGAAGGGGGCUAGCGUUGCUCGGAAUCACUGGGCGUAAAGGGUGCGUAGGCGGGUCUUUAAGUCAGAGGUGAAAGCCUGGAGCUCAACUCCAGAACUGCCUUUGAUACUGAGGAUCUUGAGUUCGGGAGAGGUGAGUGGAACUGCGAGUGUAGAGGUGAAAUUCGUAGAUAUUCGCAAGAACACCAGUGGCGAAGGCGGCUCACUGGCCCGAUACUGACGCUGAGGCACGAAAGCGUGGGGAGCAAAC
rnacentral:rRNA from 1 species